CCUACGGGUGGCAGCAGUGAGGAAUAUUGGUCAAUGGGCGCGAGCCUGAACCAGCCAAGUAGCGUGAAGGAUGACUGCCCUACGGGUUGUAAACUUCUUUUAUAAUGGAAUAAAGUGAGGCACGUGUGCCUUUUUGUAUGUAUUUUAUGAAUAAGGAUCGGCUAACUCCGUGCCAGCAGCCGCGGUAAUACGGAGGAUCCGAGCGUUAUCCGGAUUUAUUGGGUUUAAAGGGAGCGUAGUUGGGUUGUUAAGUCAGUUGUGAAAGUUUGCGGCUCAACCGUAAAAUUGCAAGUGAGACUGGCAGCCUUGAGUACAGUAGAGGUGGGCGGAAGUCGUGGUGUAGCGGUGAAAUGCUUAGAUAUCACGAAGAACUCCGAUUGCGAAGGCAGCCCACUGGACUGCAACUGACACUGAGGCUCGAAAGUGUGGGUAUCAAACAGGAUUAGAUACCCCUGUAGUC
rnacentral:rRNA from 1 species